AGAGUUUGAUCCUGGCUCAGGACGAACGCUGGCGGCGUGCCUAACACAUGCAAGUCGAACGGAGAAUUUUAUUUCGGUAGAAUUCUUAGUGGCGAACGGGUGAGUAACGCGUAGGCAACCUGCCCUUUAGACGGGGACAACAUUCCGAAAGGAGUGCUAAUACCGGAUGUGAUCAUCUUGCCGCAUGGCAGGAUGAAGAAAGAUGGCCUCUACAAGUAAGCUAUCGCUAAAGGAUGGGCCUGCGUCUGAUUAGCUAGUUGGUAGUGUAACGGACUACCAAGGCGAUGAUCAGUAGCCGGUCUGAGAGGAUGAACGGCCACAUUGGGACUGAGACACGGCCCAAACUCCUACGGGAGGCAGCAGUGGGGAAUAUUGCACAAUGGGGGAAACCCUGAUGCAGCGACGCCGCGUGAGUGAAGAAGUAUUUCGGUAUGUAAAGCUCUAUCAGCAGGGAAGAAAAUGACGGUACCUGACUAAGAAGCACCGGCUAAAUACGUGCCAGCAGCCGCGGUAAUACGUAUGGUGCAAGCGUUAUCCGGAUUUACUGGGUGUAAAGGGAGCGUAGACGGCUGUGUAAGUCUGAAGUGAAAGCCCGGGGCUCAACCCCGGGACUGCUUUGGAAACUAUGCAGCUAGAGUGUCGGAGAGGUAAGUGGAAUUCCCAGUGUAGCGGUGAAAUGCGUAGAUAUUGGGAGGAACACCAGUGGCGAAGGCGCCUUUCUGGACUGUGUCUGACGCUGAGAUGCGAAAGCCAGGGUAGCGAACGGGAUUAGAUACCCCGGUAGUCCUGGCCGUAAACGAUGGGUACUAGGUGUAGGAGGUAUCGACCCCUUCUGUGCCGGAGUUAACGCAAUAAGUACCCCGCCUGGGGAGUACGGCCGCAAGGUUGAAACUCAAAGGAAUUGACGGGGGCCCGCACAAGCGGUGGAGUAUGUGGUUUAAUUCGAAGCAACGCGAAGAACCUUACCAGGGCUUGACAUCCCACUAACGAAGCAGAGAUGCAUUAGGUGCCCUUCGGGGAAAGUGGAGACAGGUGGUGCAUGGUUGUCGUCAGCUCGUGUCGUGAGAUGUAGGGUUAAGUCCCGCAACGAGCGCAACCCUU
rnacentral:rRNA from 1 species